rnacentral:misc_RNA from 1 species
GAUGAAGAACGCAGCGAAAUGCGAUCCUUGGUGUGAAUUGCAGAAUCCCGUGAACCAUCGAGUCUUUGAACGCAAGUUGCGCCCGAAGCCAUUAGGCCGAGGGCACGCCUGCCUGGGCGUCACACGUCGUUGCCCCCCCAUCUACUCCUUCGGGAUUGCGGGGGGCGGAUGAUGGCCUCCCGUGCGCCUCGUCGCGCGGUUGGCAUAAAUGCCAAGUCCUCGGCGACGCACGCCACGACAAUCGGUGGUUGCGAAACCUCGGUUGCCCGUCGUGUGCGGUCGUCGCGCAUCGAGGGCUCGAAAAAAUUGCCGGGCUCCGGCUCGGCUUUCAACGCGACCCCAGGUCAGGCGGGGUUACCCGCUGAAUUUAAGCAUAUCAAUAAGCGGAGGA